ACAUUUUUCGUAUUUAAAUUAUAACACAUAAAAGCAACAUAUUUUUAGGUUGACUUCCUAGAAAUGAAAAGUUGAGAAGCAUUUGGAUCAGGCGGACUGGAUGUGAACAUUUAUUGGCAAAAUAAAAAUUUCGUAGAAGAUUUGUGUCCAGACAUUUUCACGAUGUGUAUUUCAAAACGAACUGGAUACUAUUACGAAAUUGUCUCCCAACAAAAUACCUUCCAAGUGCCGCUUCCAAGAAGAAUAGCUUCUAUCGAGAGGAUGUACCAUCAAAUAUCGCCUCAGUUCCGCGUAAGUAGAUAUACAAUGAAUAAGGAAUAUAGUAGCUUACCUACGGCUUAAGGGUUUAAUCAAUAACCUACGUUUAAAAUUUGAGCAAAUAUUUCAUUAACUGUAGCAAUUAAAGAGAAAAUACCAACAUUUUUUGAAACGUUAACACCCUGUAUGUCGCGUUGACCAUGGGCCUGAGAGAAAAAACCUCAAAUGGAAACUCGACUUGUUUUCAGGUCGUCUACACGCCCUUGCUGUGUGUAUAAGGUUGUGAAUCACCCUGUAUAUAAAUAUCCUCUUCGUACAAAAUGGGAUUAAAGGUUUUUAGUAAAUUACCUCAUUUCGUAGGAAACAAGCGAGUUUGUUAUCCGUUUACUUUUGUUCGAAAAGUGCCGCUUUACUUUCAAUUUUUCGGAAAAUUAAGUUUUCUUGGACUUCAUGCAGUGUAAUAGUAUAUUACAUAAUAAGAGUUGUAAGUAGCACUUUGCGUAAUAAUUCCAUGAGUACUUAAUUGCGUUACAACUCGAAUUAUGUACCAUACUUUACCUGCGAUCGUAUUAACUUACUAAAACUAAAAGACAAAUUUGUAUGUUUUAUAUAUUGUAUAUUGACAAUUUGUAUAUACUUACAGUAGUGGCCAUAGGUAAAAUUAUUUUAUUACUUUUUA